GGGCUCUUGGCACAGAUGGUAGCGCGCACGCUUCGCACCAUUAGUCGUCUUGUGUGAGGUCGUGGGUUCAAUUCUCACAGUGUCCA